rnacentral:lncRNA from 1 species
AUAAUAGUAAGCAAAUGGAAGCACACUGUGACAUACAUCCUGCUGCACUUAAUGUAUGCUAAGGAGCCAUUGGUCCUUGUUGCUCCCUUCUGUCAGCAGAAAUGCACUAAGGCCAUGGGAGCCACUCACUGCUACGUCAAUGUUGACUUUUCCCUUUCUCAUGAACACCAGGUCAGAAAUGAACCAGCCCCAGCCCAAUGGCCCUAACACAAAUUCACAAAUAAUGACUCCUUACUAGGGUUAUUUGGUCUGAGGUAAUUGGCUGAUUGGAUUCUUCUGGGAUGGAGGGGAUAGAAGUGGAAGUGAUGUCUGACCUAGUUUCUUUGGGGGCUUUUUGUUGUAGAUAUAGACAUGAAUAGAUACAUAAACAAUCACACAUAUACAGGGUUAUAUGAGUAUGUCUAUGUAAUGUCCAUUUGUGAGUAUGGCUAUGUAAAAGAAGCCCAAAUAAAACCUAGGUAAAAGGCCAUUUCUGUUUCCAUCCUCUCCAACCCAGGUACAUGUAAUUAUUCAAUUUGCUCAGCCCAGAUGAAUCUAUUCAGCCAAUAAGCUCAGUAUAGGUGAAUCCAAUCAGCUCAUUAGUCAAAUUGGCAGUGCUGAAGGAUCAAGACAGGAUCUCAGCAGUGGAAAUGAGCAGUGAGGGAAUCUACCAAGGAGAGCAGGGCCCUGUUGUCCUAAGCUGGGCCUGCCUUACAUAGCAAUACUGCCGGCUUACUUGCCAGGCAUUGCCCCUGAAGGUGAAGCUUUGUUUAUGUUUAUACAUACAACAUCCCAUGGUUGUGUUCUAUUCUGAGAUGGUAUAGAGCCAUAUAUGACAAAAGUCUAGUUCUGCACGCUUAAGAUAGGCAGAAUUAUUCAAAAUGUAUGUUGGUGAACAUUG